AGAGUUUGAUCCUGGCUCAGAUUGAACGCUGGCGGUAUGCUUAACACAUGCAAGUCGAACGGAAACGAUACUAGCUUGCUAGUAGGCGUCGAGUGGCGGACGGGUGAGUAACGCGUAGGAAUCUGCCUGAUAGUGGGGGAUAGCCCGAAGAAAUUCGGAUUAAUACCGCAUAAUCUAUUCGUAGUAAAGUGGGGGACUUUCGAGCCUCACGCUAUCAGAUGAGCCUGCGUAAGAUUAGCUAGUUGGUAGGGUAAAAGCCUACCAAGGCUACGAUCUUUAGCUGGUCUGAGAGGAUGAUCAGCCACAUCGGGACUGAGACACGGCCCGAACUCCUACGGGAGGCAGCAGUGGGGAAUAUUGGACAAUGGGGGCAACCCUGAUCCAGCAAUACCGCGUGUGUGAAGAAGGCCUGAGGGUUGUAAAGCACUUUCAAUUGUGAAGAAAAGUUAACGGUUAAUAACCGUUAGCCUUGACGUUAACUUUAGAAGAAGCACCGGCUAACUCCGUGCCAGCAGCCGCGGUAAUACGGAGGGUGCAAGCGUUAAUCGGAAUUACUGGGCGUAAAGCGUGCGUAGGCGGUUUAUUAAGUCAGAUGUGAAAGCCCCGGGCUUAACCUGGGAACUGCAUUUGAAACUGGUCAACUAGAGUAUGGUAGAGGAAAGUGGAAUUUCUGGUGUAGCGGUGAAAUGCGUAGAUAUCAGAAGGAACAUCAAUGGCGAAGGCAGCUUUCUGGACCAAUACUGACGCUGAGGUACGAAAGCGUGGGUAGCAAACAGGAUUAGAUACCCUGGUAGUGCACGCCGUAAACGAUGAUAACUAGCCGUUGGGGGGAUUUACCCUUUAGUGGCGAAGCUAACGCGUUAAGUUAUCCGCCUGGGGAGUACGGCCGCAAGGCUAAAACUCAAAGGAAUUGACGGGGACCCGCACAAGCGGUGGAGCAUGUGGUUUAAUUCGAUGCAACGCGAAGAACCUUACCUGGUCUUGACAUCCUGCGAACUUUCUAGAAAUAGAUUGGUGCCUUCGGGAACGCAGUGACAGGUGCUGCAUGGCUGUCGUCAGCUCGUGUCGUGAGAUGUUGGGUUAAGUCCCGUAACGAGCGCAACCCCUAUCCUUAUUUGCCAGCACAUUAUGGUGGGAACUAUAAGGAGACUGCCGGUGAUAAACCGGAGGAAGGCGGGGACGACGUCAAGUCAUCAUGGCCCUUACGACCAGGGCUACACACGUGCUACAAUGGGAAGGACAAAGAGCCGCGAAGCCGCGAGGUGUAGCUAAUCUCAUAAAUCUUUUCGUAGUCCGGAUUGGAGUCUGCAACUCGACUCCAUGAAGUCGGAAUCGCUAGUAAUCGUAGAUCAGAAUGCUACGGUGAAUACGUUCCCGGGUCUUGUACACACCGCCCGUCACACCAUGGGAGCCGACAAGGGCAGAAGUCGCCGAGCUAACCUUCGGGAAGCAGGCGCCCAAGCUGUUGUUGACGACUGGGGUGAAGUCGUAACAAGGUAACC
rnacentral:rRNA from 1 species